rnacentral:snRNA from 1 species
GUGCUUACUUCAGCAGCACAAAUGCUCACCUUGGAAUGAUACAGAGAAGACAAGCAUCACUUCUGCUCAAGGAGGAUAUGCAAACUCCUGAAGGCUUCCACAUUUUA